rnacentral:rRNA from 1 species
GAUGAACGCUGGCGGCGUGCCUAAUACAUGCAAGUCGAGCGAACGGACGAGAAGCUUGCUUCUCUGAUGUUAGCGGCGGACGGGUGAGUAACACGUGGAUAACCUACCUAUAAGACUGGGAUAACUUCGGGAAACCGGAGCUAAUACCGGAUGAUAUUUUGAACCGCAUGGUUCAAAAGUGAAAGACGGUCUUGCUGUCACUUAUAGAUGGAUCCGCGCUGCAUUAGCUAGUUGGUAAGGUAGCGGCUUACCAAGGCAACGAUGCAUAGCCGACCUGAGAGGGUGAUCGGCCACACUGGAACUGAGACACGGUCCAGACUCCUACGGGAGGCAGCAGUAGGGAAUCUUCCGCAAUGGGCGAAAGCCUGACGGAGCAACGCCGCGUGAGUGAUGAAGGUCUUCGGAUCGUAAAACUCUGUUAUUAGGGAAGAACAUAUGUGUAAGUAACUGUGCACAUCUUGACGGUACCUAAGCAGAAAGCCACGGCUAACUACGU